rnacentral:lncRNA from 1 species
UAAACGCAAAAACAAAUUAAAAGAGUAACAAAAUAAACAAAGAGAUUGUCCAAAUCCUCGUUACAAUUAACAUACCAUGCGAUAUCGAUAGGCGAUGGCUAUUGCUUAAUAAUGCUAGCGAAUAGAACAUGGUAUUCGAUCCAUUAAUUUCUGGGCUGAGCCUAAUUAGGCAACUAUUGUUUUGUUCCUAUAACAAACUAGCUAUUUUUUUAAUUUUCUAUAACAAAUUACUAGCUAACUACAUGCACUUUGCACUUCUCAUCAGCGAUAAUUUGUUGCUUGGAAGUUGAAGCAACGGCUUUUGCCCACUCUCGGAUCUUUGCUUUCAUCAUCUCCACUGCAGCCACGUUAACUAAUUCAUUAUUAGGCUCGGCCACAAGGUACAUAGGAGGUUGCUGUUGUGGGUAACACUCUUCCAAAGUGAUGGCACAUUCUUUGUAAUCCAUGCCUGCCAUUGCCAUAGCUUCAAUAGACAUAUUUCCUUUAUUCCUAAUAGGGGUCAAUGAGAAUAUAUAUGUGUGUGACUGCAUGUGA